UGCUACUAGAGGGAGUUACAGACC
rnacentral:piRNA from 1 species